CCCUUAGACGUUCUGGGCCGCACGCGCGCUACACUGACCAGUGCAACAAGCAUCCGUCCUUGGCCAACAGGCCCGGGCAAUCUUUGAACGCUGGUCGUGAUGGGGAUAGACUUUUGCAAUUUUUGGUCUUCAACGAGGAAUUCCUAGUAAACGCAAGUCAUCAACUUGCAUUGAUUACGUCCCUGCCCUUUGUACACACCGCCCGUCGCACCUACCGAUUGAAUGGUCCGGUGAAGCCUCCGGAUUGGCGCGCACCUCGGUGCCGCCGAGAAGUUGGCUAAACCUUACCAUUUAGAGGAAGGUGAAGUCGUAACA
rnacentral:rRNA from 1 species